rnacentral:lncRNA from 1 species
CACCAAAUUUAUUGUUGAACACUUAGAACAUUGAAUAUGAUGAGUUAAAAAGAAAGCACCAAAAACUGCCACACAUUAAUACCUGAGCAAGGACUGAAGUAUUCACACACUGCACCCUACAUCUAAUAGCAGAGAGCUGAAACAAGAUAAAAAAACAUUUACAACACUCUAUAUAGAGCAUGGUAAGUAGCACUUUUUGUGAAUUACAUGUUAAAUGUAAUAACAUUAAUUCUAUUAUACAAAACAAAUAUACACAAAAUGUGUCUUUAGCACAACACUGUACAAAGUUCUGACGAAAGCAUGCAUGUCCAUAUGGGAAAGACUUGGGAGAGUUUUUUUUUUUAGUCUGUGUUAUAGUUUAGUAGUUUUACUAUGGUGAAAUAAUCCUUGUACUGAAUAGGAAUGAAUGUACAAUAUAAUUGAGUUUAUAUGUGACCGUUAUCUGCAAAAAGAUUUCUAUGUCUCAUAUGUCAUCAUUAUGUACCUCUCUAUGAGCCUCUAAUUAAGAAUAUGAAAGUUGGUAAGCACUGGGCUUGGGAAUGAAUUCCUUCUAUUAUUUUCCCUUUUCCUUAUUUCCAUCUCAAUUUAUUCAAGAAAGCCAUGAUCUCUAAUGACUUUCAGAGAACCCUAUCAUUUCAAAAAAAUUAGUGAGGAUAAAAAUUUAACAUGAAAAGGAAUUGAAAAUUUGAAUUGAAAAAUUUUUUUUAAAAAGUACAACUUGAAAUGAAGUAGCCUAUCAAUUCCACAAAUGUGGAAAAAAUUCAACUAAGAUUACAGAUCAAAAAACAACUUGGAGCCCAAACAGGAAUCACAUCUAUUAUUUUAGCAAAAUAUACACAUAAUUCUUUGAUUUAAAAAAAAAUUUGUUCAGUCUUGGUAAUUGAGGUGGAGAGGGAAAAGAAUCUCAGAACAAGCACAUUACUAAUAGGAAUUUAAUGGAAUAAGAAUAAAACCAUCCAAAAAAAUUUUUUUAAAUCUGAAGUACAUUUAAAUGCUCAUAUACUACAUGCUUCUAAAUACUUUGAGGGGUGAGGUCCCUGGCCAGAGUGAAUCUUGGAAAGAAAUUCAUGACUGCAGGGUAAUUAAGACAAUUCCAUGUUCAUGUUCAGAUUUUCAUAUGUAAAGUCAAGGUCACAGUGAGAAUAUAAGUUCAGUUUUGAUCUGGUUUCCCUAUGAAUAUAGGUCAUAUUGACCUCUGUAUUCUGCACAUUUAUACUUAGUGAAAUGUUAAAUUAUUAUUGUUAUAAAAUUAUACUAGAAAUUAUAACAUGUUUAAAAGAAAACAUUUAAAUCAUCUGCAUCUAACUGUAUGACUGCCAAAUUUAUAAUACAUUAAAAAAAAUCCACUAUGGGAAAGUACUUUAAAAAUAUACUUUUGAACUUAUACAAAAUAUAAACACAUGAGAUACAUAUAUUUUUCACUUACCAGAUAUUAACAACAUUAAUCUGGAGAUUAGCUCUAAUUUGUAUAGUUUUAAGGUUUGCAAAGCACUUCAAGAAUCAAUGAACAUUAUAUAUUAAAUAUAUAGUCCUUUACUUCCACAUGGUCCUUGCUGCCACUAAAUAGCUGGUUGAACUAUUUGUGCAUGAAUAUAACAGUGAAACCAAAGCAUGUGCUAAAAGUUCAGCAGCAUUUAGCUUGUUGCUAAACCCAAUAAAUACUUAACAUGAGGAUAGCAGCAAUUUUUCAAUCAAAUAAACAAUAAUGCACAAUCUACUAAUUGUUGAAGUAGCUGUCAGACAAGCUAUCAGAUCAAAUACUAUAGACAUAAAGGGCUUCUAGGGAUCAGCUAUUCCUUCAUUUUCUAUGUAAUGAAACUGAGACCUAGAGAGGUUGUACAGUAAAACAGAUUAAGGUCAUGGAACUAGGUUAUGGGCAGGGUCAGGAACAGAGUAAGAGAUCUCUAAUUCCCAGUAAGUCACUCAGCACAACAUCUUAUGAUCUUUCGGUUUUGUCAGUAUUAGUAGGCAGUGAGAAGCCAGUGAAGUCACAUAAUGUUAAAAAGUAGAAAAAAAAUAAAGGCAGACUGCCCGAUAUGUGAAUUUACAAGUGUUAGGGUUUGUCAUAAAGGCAAAUCUAUUACAUUUAUAGCAUGACAUUGGAGGCAAAGUAUCUGACUCUUGAACAUUUUCAGUUUUAGUAAUUCUAUUUUGUGGCAAAUAAAUUGGUAGAAUAUUAUGUUAACAUGGUAAUGUGGCAUCCUGAUUUUCACUUAACUUUGAAUUUUUUAAAAGUAAAGUUUUAUUUGAGAACAUUUAGUCAGCUUGUUGUGUCAAGCUUCUGUCAUCGCAAGAGCUGGAAAGGACACAGGUACAGUUUUCCUUUUUUGUUUCUGUAUUCUCCAGUCUGGCACAGUGCCUGAUGCAUGACAGGUGUUUAAGAAAUGUUUCCUGAACUAAAUGACUUUGCCUAGGGAAUAUGUGCAAUUAGAUCUGCUGGUAGUAUCAUUAUGGUUAACCCCAACUCUAAAAGAUGAAUUUCUCCAAGAUAAAUAACCAUAUAAGUUACUUUAUCUCUUGGGAUGACAGUCUUAAAGUUUUAAUAUCUGUAAAACAAAAGAGAUACAUAUAAAGUCCAAUUCUAACUUUUUUUUUCCUAAUUACCUUGGCAGUCAAGUACUUUUUGGAAAAAUUGGAACCAAUGAACUAAAUAUACUCUACAGCAGGGCUACUUAAACUUUUUGCAUUUGUGAUCCCUUUUUGCACAAGAAAUUUUUAUGUGACCCCAGAUAUGGAGGUAUAUAAAAAGAUAUACAAAUCAAAUAUUUACUAUUAAUAAAUCAUAAUUUUGUGUCCUCACAUUCAGUUAGGAGAUUUUAUAGAAGGUCACAACCCACAGUUUAAGAAGCUUAGCUUUAUAGCAAAGUUCCGUGGAACUAUUGGUAUAUUCCAUUAAAAGAGGGACUUUUAUUGAAAACAAAAAUAUCAAAUGAAGACAAAUUACCAUUAAAUAAACAUAAAUUAGAAAUUUCAAAUGAAGAACCAGAUAACACUAUUUCAGAAAUUAAAUAAAAUUGUUAUAUUAUACUAAAAUCUUUAAACAUAGAGGCAACUAGAUGGUACAGUAGAUAAAGUACCAGCCCUGAAGUCAGGUGAGUUCAAAUCUGGUCUCAGACAUUUAACACUUUCUAGCUGUGUGAUCCUGGGACAAGUCACUUAACCCAACUGCCUCAGUCAAAAAAAAAAACUUUAAACAUAGAAAAACAAAAGUACAAAGUACAAGUUUUGCCAGUUACAUAUCUGUUAUUAAAAGUGAUAGCUUAGAAAUGAUGAAAAAUUAUUUUGGUUUUAUCCCAAUAUGUAUCUGUUUUCUAAAUACAGUUCAUUGGCACAAGUAUCCAGAGGUAUAUUAC